rnacentral:lncRNA from 1 species
UUAGGUUUCAUUUAAUAGUUUUGACUGAGCCAAGUUGACUUGAGGAAGACUUUAAGCGGCUGAAAAUGCAACACAAAAUUGUAGCAUGGCCGAUGAUUUUUAUUGCCUGGCUGCCUACUCAACAACAUAAAUGAAAAACGCAACUUGCCUGAUCUUCAUAAUGAUUGAGCAAUUUGUUAGAACAAAGGACAUCUUACACACAAACAGAGUUUACUGGAAACUGUAAGAAAAGAAUCCUACAUAAAUAUAAUGGAGAAUGCACUAUUUUUCAGUACAUGUAGUGAAUAUCCCCCCAUGUAAACAUUGCAGGUGAUGAAUUGUGCAAGUUGAAAAUUAUAAAGGCCAAUUC